rnacentral:misc_RNA from 1 species
GUGAAGGAGCUGUAAAGCGUACAUUUAGUGGUCUGGGGAAGCGAGCAGGUGGGGUAGUGCAAUUUGACACUACCAAAAACAGAUUUUUGGCAGCUGGUGAUGAAUUCAUGAUCAAAUUUUGGGAAAUGGACAGUGUUAACUUACUGACAACUACUGACGCUGACGGUGGCUUACCGGCUUCUCCUUGCCUCCGAUUUAACAAGGAAGGAAUGUUGUUGGCUGUUUCGACGAGUGACAAUGGGCUAAAAAUCUUAGCAAAUGCAGAUGGUGUUAGGCUUUUAAGAUCCAUGGAAAAUCG